UCUCUUUCAGGCUCCGGAGAGGAAGAUGCAUCACCAUGCAGUUGCUGGAGGCGGUUCUGAUGUGACACCCGGGUAGAGAGAUCUGUACCCUGACACCGACCAUGUGAUUUGUAAUACCAACUCCAGCGGUGGAAUUGACUCGGAAGUUGAAGGAUUGGAUAUGUUUUGGUCAUGACUUGAAGAUAUUGUUGAAGAGGAUUGGGGUGUGAAAGGCAAAGUAGUGGCCCAUCUGAACAGAAGUCUCCAUGCGCCUACAUGGAGGAUUAAUGGCUCAACCGUGCUAUGUCUGUGGAAAGUUUAAAUGAAGUGAUAUAUUUUGAUAUUGUGAUAUAUAAUUUGCAGAGAUAUAUUUUGGAAAUGACUUAAUAAACACUAUUUAAAAAAAACACAA